rnacentral:rRNA from 1 species
AUUGAACGCUGGCGGCAUGCCUUACACAUGCAAGUCGAACGGUAACGGGCCUUCGGGUGCCGACGAGUGGCGAACGGGUGGGUAAUACAUCGGAACGUGCCCGAUCGUGGGGGAUAACGAGGCGAAAGCUUUGCUAAUACCGCAUACGAUCUACGGAUGAAAGCAGGGGACCGCAAGGCCUUGCGCGGACGGAGCGGCCGAUGGCAGAGUAGGUAGUGGGUGGGAUAAAAGCUUACCAAGCCGACGAUCUGUAGCUGGUCUGAGAGGAUGAUCAGCCACACUGGGACUGAGACACGGCCCAGACUCCUACGGGAGGCAGCAGUGGGGAAUUUUGGACAAUGGGCGCAAGCCUGAUCCAGCCAUGCCGCGUGCAGGAUGAAGGCCUUCGGGUUGUAAACUGCUUUUGUACGGAACGAAAAGCCUUCUUUUAAUACAGGAGGGUCAUGACGGUACCGUAAGAAUAAGCACCGGCUAACUACGUG